AUGUUGGCGCUGAAUGUUUUGGAGGAAGCCGACCUCUGCAAUUCCAGGUUUGAAAGGCAUCCUGGUUUUCAUACGAUCCAGCUUCACCCAUACAUCCAAACACACUUACCCGUAUUUUAUGUCUCUCUCUGGUCCCAGUUCUCAGUGCAAAGGUGGACCCAGGUAACAAUGGCCAACAAAAACACUCUCCAUAAUGCCUGGCGAUGUCACACUCAAGGCACAGGGGACAAAAGAGACCACAGAAACCUGUCAAUAAGCACGCAAAAGCAAGGCAAGAGUUUCAGAUGUCCCUGGACUGACUUUGUAUCUCAGAGAGCAUCUACAACCCUAUGCCACCAAUUUAAUGCUGCAUUGUCCCCCUGUAAUCAGGGACUGAGAAUGAAUAACCAACUCGCAAAACUCAGUGUAUGAAAAUUGCUGUAACUGAGCCACAUCAAAAUUGUCUUCUUUUGUUAAACACUGGCAAAGCUGAACUUGCUACAAUUCCAUUAGCAUUCACCACAGUAAUUGUUUUUCCUGUCAAGAGAAAAGCAUUACAUAAUUUUUUAAAGUUGAAAUAUAACUGUUGCUUCUAUUAUGUUCAUCUAAUUUCAAUAUUUAAAAUAGACACAGUAUUGAUAUAUUUGAAUAGCAGGCAUCUUUUUCUAUAAAAAUUCUUGAAAGCUCUUUCAGGUACACUGAUUCUGCCUGUUAUUCUUUUCUUUUCUUUCUUUUCUUUUUUUUUUUUUUUUCGGUCUUUUUGGCAUUUCUUGGGCCACUCCCAUGGCAUAUGGAGGUUCCCAGGCUAGGGGUCUAAUCGGAGCUGUAGCCACCGGCCUACGCCAGAGCCACAGCAACUCAGGAUCCGAGCCGCAUCUGCAGCCUACACCACAGCUCACGGCAACGCCAGAUCCUUAACCCACUGAGCAAGGGCAGGAAUCGAACCCGCAACCUCAGGUUUCUAGUUGGAUUCGUUAACCACUGCGCCAUGACGGGAACUCCUCUUUCUUUCUUUCUUUCUUUCUUUGGCCAUGCCCACAGCAUGCAGGAGUUCCUGGGCCAGGGAUCCAAUUCGCACAACAGUGGUAAUACCAGAUCCUUGACAACAAGACACCAGGGAACUCCCUGAUUUUCUUAUCAAGACUUUAUUCUGCUUCUCAGGCCAGAAGCUUACUCUAAUGUUUCUCAGUUUCAUGAAGCCACUGCCAUCCACCAGUUUUAAUCUGUAAACUAGUGGAGGCUUGGUUCCUUGAACAUCAACUAUAAACACUCUGUCAUUCAUUCAUUCAUCUCUAACUACCGAUAUUGUUUAAUACACAUCCUGUACAAACCAUCUAACACGGAAGUUCUGUUACAAGUACGUUUUGGGUCACAGAUCCUUUUGAGAAUAUGGGAAUAACUAUGAACUUGCUCCUAAAGGGGAAAGAAAAACACAAAUUUGUCCAUGAAUUUCACAGGGUUCAAGAUCAUUGGACUACAGCUUAAGAACCGCUGGUAUAUGAUAAGAUGUUAUGUUACUGCAAAAGAUAACAACCUUGAUGAAUACAAAUAAUUUGAACUCUGAAGUGGCAGAAAAAAUACCUAGUCAUAACCUUUAAAAUGUACUCAAUAAAUACGUUAUUGAGGGAGUUCCCA
rnacentral:lncRNA from 1 species